rnacentral:rRNA from 1 species
GACGAACGCUGGCGGCGUGCUUAACACAUGCAAGUCGAACGGAAAGGCCCUGCUUUUGUGGGGUGCUCGAGUGGCGAACGGGUGAGUAACACGUGAGUAACCUGCCCUUGACUUUGGGAUAACUUCAGGAAACUGGGGCUAAUACCGGAUAGGAGCUCCUGCUGCAUGGUGGGGGUUGGAAAGUUUCGGCGGUUGGGGAUGGACUCGCGGCUUAUCAGCUUGUUGGUGGGGUAGUGGCUUACCAAGGCUUUGACGGGUAGCCGGCCUGAGAGGGUGACCGGCCACAUUGGGACUGAGAUACGGCCCAAACUCCUACGGGAGGCAGCAGUGGGGAAUAUUGCACAAUGGGCGGAAGCCUGAUGCAGCAACGCCGCGUGCGGGAUGACGGCCUUCGGGUUGUAAACCGCUUUCGCCUGUGACGAAGCGUGAGUGACGGUAAUGGGUAAAGAAGCACCGGCUAACUACGUGCCAGCAGCCGCGGUGAUACGUAGGGUGCGAGCGUUGUCCGGAUUUAUUGGGCGUAAAGGGCUCGUAGGUGGUUGAUCGCGUCGGAAGUGUAAUCUUGGGGCUUAACCCUGAGCGUGCUUUCGAUACGGGUUGACUUGAGGAAGGUAGGGGAGAAUGGAAUUCCUGGUGGAGCGGUGGAAUGCGCAGAUAUCAGGAGGAACACCAGUGGCGAAGGCGGUUCUCUGGGCCUUUCCUGACGCUGAGGAGCGAAAGCGUGGGGAGCGAACAGGCUUAGAUACCCUGGUAGUCCACGCUGUAAACGGUGGGUACUAGGUGUGGGGUCCAUUCCACGGGUUCCGUGCCGUAGCUAACGCUUUAAGUACCCCGCCUGGGGAGUACGGCCGCAUGGCUAAAACUCAAAGGAAUUGACGGGGCCCCGCACAAGCGGCGGAGCAUGCGGAUUAAUUCGAUGCAACGCGUAGAACCUUACCUGGGUUUGACAUGGAUCGGGAGUGCUCAGAGAUGGGUGUGCCUCUUUUGGGGUCGGUUCACAGGUGGUGCAUGGCUGUCGUCAGCUCGUGUCGUGAGAUGUUGGGUUAAGUCCCGCAACGAGCGCAACCCUUGUUCACUGUUGCCAGCACGUUAUGGUGGGGACUCAGUGGAGACCGCCGGGGUCAACUCGGAGGAAGGUGGGGAUGACGUCAAGUCAUCAUGCCCCUUAUGUCCAGGGCUUCACGCAUGCUACAAUGGCUGGUACAGAGAGUGGCGAGCCUGUGAGGGUGAGCGAAUCUCGGAAAGCCGGUCUCAGUUCGGAUUGGGGUCUGCAACUCGACCUCAUGAAGUCGGAGUCGCUAGUAAUCGCAGAUCAGCAACGCUGCGGUGAAUACGUUCCCGGG